rnacentral:rRNA from 1 species
UACGUAGGGUGCGAGCGUUGUCCGAAUUAUUGGGCGUAAAGAGCUCGUAGGCGGUUUGUUGCGUCGGCCGUGAAAACUUGCAGCUUAACUGUGGGCCUGCGGCCGAUACGGGCAGACUUGAGUUCGGUAGGGGAGACUGGAAUUCCUGGUGUAGCGGUGAAAUGCGCAGAUAUCAGGAGGAACACCGGUGGCGAAGGCGGGUCUCUGGGCCGAUACUGACGCUGAGGAGCGAAAGCGUGGGGAGCGAACAGG